AAGCUACUCCCUCCGAUCCUAAAUUGUUGUCGAAAUAUUACAUGUAUCUACACACUUUUUAAGAAUAGAUACAUCCAUAUUUGGGCAAAUUUGAGACAAGAAUUUAGGAUUGGAGGAAGUAUAAU
rfam:Brachypodium distachyon strain Bd21 chromosome 1, whole genome shotgun sequence.